CGAGGACAUCAGCGCGGCAGCCUUCAGGAUCCAGUCAGGGAUGCAGAAGACGCCUUGCACGUACUCCAGAUUGUCCAAACAGUACGGGAUGGAGAUCUACCUGAAGAAGGAGCACCUGCACUACACCGGCUCUGUGAAGGAGAGAGGAGUGCUGUACCUGCUCACCUCCCUCACGCAGCAGCAGCAGAGGAUGGGUGUGAUCGUGGCCACUGACUGUAACUUCUCCAUGGCCGUGGCGCACCACGCGCGGUGGAGCUGAAGAUCCCGGUGUUUGUCAUCAUGCCGUCAAG